CUGACCUCGAACUCCUGACCACAAGUGAUCUGCCCACCUCGGCCUUCCAAAGUGCUAGGAUUACAGGCGUGAGCCACCAUACACGACCUCCUCAUUCUCUUUCACCUGGAUUAUAACUGGUCUUUCUCCCAAUUCAUUCUCUACAUCAUUGCCAAGGUGAUCUUUCAACACAUUAAUCUGAUCAAGUCACUACUCUACAUAAAGCAUUCCAAUGGCUCCCCAUUUGCUAAAAAGUAAAAGUCCAAACUUGCUUGUACUCCAUGACCUUUCAAGCUUCAUCUCUUGCCCUUUCCCUCCUCAUAGUCUAUACUAUUGUGGAACUAAAUUACUUCCAGUCUUCAAUCAUGCCAUGUGGUCUUUUGCUCCCAAAUAGAAAUAGAACAGAAUAUUCUAUGCAGAGUGUUAAUGUAUUCUUCUUCCUCUGUUUAGUGCCUUCUCGUAUUUUAGGAUUCAGUGCAGAUGUCUCUUACUCUAGCCUGGGUCAAGUACCCCUCCUGUCUAUUCUUACAGUAUCUUGUGUUUACUUCCAUCAUAGUAAUAAUAAUAAUAAUAGUAACACUUAUGUAGUGUUUCUUAUGGGACCAUUAUAAGCACUUUUUAUGUGCUAACUUAUUUAAUCAUCACAAGUUUUUUUGUGGUAGGCACUAAUAAUCCCUAUUGUAUAGAUGAAGAAACUGAGGCAGAGAUAGUACAUUUUGCAUUAUGUUGCAAUUUCCUGUUUAAACCCUUAUUCUUCCCUAUUAGCCUGUGAGCUACUUGAGGGCAAGACUGUAUCUUAUUUAUUUCUGUAUCUCAUGUGCCUUACACACUGCUUUACCCAGAGCAGCAAUUCAAAAACUAUCUUCUUAAUGAAUGAAUGAAGUUGGCAAAGAGGUUUGAGGGGCUCCAUGUAACUAAAAUAUAGGGACUUCCCAAAUGAGUCAAUAAUGCUUCGGUGUAAGGGUCAUUGAAGUGCUGCCCAAUGUUGGGAAAGAAGAAGGAGAGAGAGAUGGGGGAUCAGAGGAAGAAAUAGGUAAAGGGGGAGAGAGAGGGCAGAGCUUCACCAUAUAUAUAAUGUAUAUUAUAUAUAUAUUUAUAAUAUAUAUAUUUGUGGAAUAUUUCGUCUCUUCAACCAAAUCCUAACAAUUUGAGGGUGAAAAAAUAUAUAUUAAAUGUCUAUCAUGCUUCCACAGCAUUGGGCACAUGAUUGAUAGUCAAUACGAUUCAUCAGCCUUGGAAACACCAAUGCCAGUGUUGAUGCAAAGCACUGCAGAGCAGGAGCUGAUAAACAUUUGAUGAAUGAAGAGAGACAUAGUUUGAAUCUCACCUCUGUCACUCAUUAACAAGUCUUUCUUGACAUUGGUUUCUUAUUGCUAACCUUGGCACAAUUGUACCUGUCCUGAUCAUGACUGUGCAUCUCAUUGAGGCCUUCAGUGCUGCUUGGAAAUGCUUUUACUUCUCCCUGCCAGGAUCAUCAGGACACCAAGACUAAAAGGACAAGAGGAAAGACCGCGCUACUGAGAAUUCAGCAUCGCUUCAUCUUCCCAAGGUCUCAGGCCAGGCUGGGAAAAGGGGCUGUCUCAGAGAAGAAAGGAUGAAGAGGCUGGCCCAAGGAGCCAGGGGAGGAGCUGGAUGGAAGGACAGGACGGAGAAGGGAUGGAGCCCAGCUGGGAGUGACGUUUCCAAACACCUCCCUCCUGCCCACCUUCUUCCUCAGAGCAUUGUUUUUCUAGGCUUCUGCAGUCCAAAUGAGGAGCAAAUGGGGAGCUGCGAGAGGUUCUGCCAAGAGAAUCUGCACCACAUGGGCCACAGCCCUGGCUCAAAUGGUGGACCAAGCGGCGGAGGGUGUAGGAAGAGAGCUGACCCAGGAACAAACUGUUCUCCAGAGGGGACCCCCUGUCCCAGGAACCCAAGGGACUGCAUAUAAGAGUUGGCACAUUUGGGACAUUUGGACUGGAGGGCAGAGGCCCCAGGCACCAUUUGCUAUUUAUGAUUUGGAGGCAGGCCCAGGUUGGGGAGAGAAACUUCUCCUUUGCUCCUCUUUCAGAGCAGGCCCUGUGUUACUUCGGGCCUCCACCAGGCACCCUCACUGGAUGUUUAGGCCUCCUGCCUUCAACCCCAGGAGCCCCAGCUUGCAAGGCAGAGGCCAGAGGGAAAGAGGAAGAGCUCCUUUCUGGAGAGGAGUUCAGAACCUGUUGCUGGAACUUUCAACCUGGCAUUCAACGUUCUCCUCCCUCUGUUGCCCGCUGGCCUAGGCUCUCGCUUCCCAAGACAGCCCACUCUCCCCACUGUUCCCCAGUGGCAGGGUAGGGCUGGGCAGUGGUUAGGAGCACAGAGACUCCCCAAGUUCAAAUCCCAAUCUUGUCACUUUUAGUUCUGUGACCCUGGGUAAGUUCCCCAGUCUCAUCUUUAAAAUGCAGCUUUUAAUAGUAUCUUCGUCACUGGGUUGUUUGUGAGACUUGAAUUAAUUCAUGCAGAGUGCUUAGAACAAUGCCUGGCAUAUAAAUGUUUAA